GGCGGGGGGGUACGGGGCAGCCUAGCCGCGCCUUGCUGCCCCUCACCCUGAAGCGGCGACACCAGCUCCCUCCUCUGGCCUGCUACCUGGCGCCAUCUCCCCGUGGCAGCCUCUGCCUCGUUCGGAGGGCUUGCGAGGGGGGUAGGGGAUCUUCACGACGGGAGAGUGCCGCCACCCCUAGGCCCUGCAUGGCUUGGCUUUCCUCCCUGUAUCCCGGCGGCUUUGAGCUUAAGUGCAGGGUUAGAAGUUGCAGCUCCUGGAAUAAGAGCAUUUACCUCUCUCCGGGACGGCUUGGCUUGGCUGCCGGCAGAGGAGUGAGGCUAACACCCAUAAGCAGCCACGCGCAAAGCAGCCACAGUAAAGAAGCCAAAACCGAGAGCAAAACAAAUCCUUAUAGCUGCAGUGCUGUACAAGUAAUAAUCAUCUCAUUCAUGUACUGUUAACAGAACUGGUAUCUUCCUUCCAGCCUGGAGACUUCACAUUUUCAAGCCUUUAUCCCAAACCAGGAACUAUCCUUAUAAUACAGAAAACUGGGAUUAAUGCAUUAUUUACUUAUCUUCAGAACCUUAUAAAUACAUCAAGUUAUUGCAAGAUUCAAGAUAAAAUGAAGAUACAGGCAAGAAUAUCCACUUGCUCAAAGCUACAGGCAAAAGAUAUUGCCUAGAACUACAGAAACUUGCUAUAGCCGAGACAUAUCUACUUAUUUACCUAUGUCACCAGAACAGCUGAUAUAUAUAUUUACAGGCUGACAAAUCUUCCUGAUCUCACAUUAUUCCAAAAGCAGCACCUCUGAAAUGAACUAAGAACAGUGCUUUUCUCUCUUCAAUACGGAGAACAGAAAUAAACCUAAAAUAAGGGAUGUUAUCCUUCACUCAAAUUUCUUUCACAAGCUUGAUCAAGUUUAUACUUAUUUUGGAUCAUUCCUAUGCCUACUCCAAUAUCAGACAGAUGUACAGUGGUAGCCUAAUUGCGUGACUCAGAUUUUUGUGACUGAUUUUUCCUUUCUUUUCCAACACUUACUGAAAAAAAGGCAUUAAGUGGAGGAGAGAGGGUCUAGAAAAAGAAACUUAGACUUCUAAGAUUCUAUUUUAAA